AAGUCGUAACAAGGUUUCCGUAGGUGAACCUGCGGAAGGAUCAUUCAUAAUAAGUGUUUUCUGGGCACUUUUUAAAAAUACCAUACCCACCUUGUGUGCAACGUUUGGUGUAAUACGAGAUUUUAUCUUGUGUUGCACUAUCUACACCAACCUUUUACAAUUUUUAAAUCAAUUUCGUCUUAAAAAUAUUAUGAAUACUUAAUUCAAAAUACAACUUUCAACAACGGAUCUCUUGGCUCUC
rnacentral:misc_RNA from 1 species